AUUUGAAAUCUGGCCUCGGCCCGAGUUGUAAUUUGUAGAGGAAGCUUUUGGUGCGGCACCGACCGAGUCCCCUGGAACGGGGCGCCAUAGAGGGUGAGAGCCCCGUAUGGUUGGACGCCUAUCCUCUGUAAAGCUCCUUCGACGAGUCGAGUAGUUUGGGAAUGCUGCUCAAAAUGGGAGGUAAAUUUCUUCUAAAGCUAAAUACCGGCCAGAGACCGAUAGCGCACAAGUAGAGUGAUCGAAAGAUGAAAAGCACUUUGAAAAGAGGGUUAAAUAGCACGUGAAAUUGUUGAAAGGGAAGCGCUUGUGACCAGACUUGCGCCUCGUCGAUCAUCCGGGGUUCUCCCCGGUGCACUCGGCGGGGCUCAGGCCAGCAUCGGUUUUCGCGGGGGGACAAAGGCACCGGGAACGUAGCUCCUCCGGGAGUGUUAUAGCCCGGGGCGCAAUGCCCUCGCGGGGACCGAGGACCGCGCUUCGGCAAGGAUGCUGGCG
rnacentral:rRNA from 1 species